rnacentral:rRNA from 11 species
GCUUUUAUCUUUUUGUCUACCCUGACACUAACAGAUCCCAUCUGAUCUUGGAAAGUCAGCCAGGUAAGGCCCAGUUAAUAUUUGAAUGAGAAACCAUCAAGGUAUUCCAGGUGUUGUAGGCU